rnacentral:rRNA from 1 species
CAGCAGCCACGGUAACACAGAGGGUGCAAGCGUUAAUCGGAUUUACUGGGCGUAAAGGGCUCGCAGGCGGUUUCUUAAGUCUGAUGUGAAAGCCCCCGGCUCAACCGGGGAGGGUCAUUGGAAACUGGGAAACUUGAGUGCAGAAGAGGAGAGUGGAAUUCCACGUGUAGCGGUGAAAUGCGUAGAGAUGUGGAGGAACACCAGUGGCGAAGGCGACUCUCUGGUCUGUAACUGACGCUGAGGAGCGAAAGCGUGGGGAGCGAACAGGAUUAGAUACCCGUGUAGUCCCUGUCUCUUAUAC